rnacentral:misc_RNA from 1 species
GUUUCUUCUACUUUCAAGAUUCUUACUUUUUUACAACUUAGACUACAAACUUGAAAUCUUCUUAAAGCGGUUUCCUGUUUUUCCAAAUGCUUUCUUGGUUGGUGGUCCAGUGGACUUCUUUGUGAUUGAACUNNNNNNNNNNNNNAAAGCUGAAGGUGGAACCAGUUCUAUUGCAUUACCUCUCUCAAAUUAAAGUUCUCCAAGGCAUGGAACUGAGAAUGACCACAAGUACAAGACUAAGAGCAUGUUUGUAUAGCUUUACUUCUCCUGGUGGUCCAAUGUAUCCCACCAGAGCUGUUCGUCAUGCAGCCUGGGAAGCUUUAGAUUUGCUUUUCCCUGUGGGACGGUACCCUCGACACCUUAUAAGUCUGUUUUUCCGACUGUUAUAUCCAUGGUGCUGGCCUUCUUCCUGUUGCAACUUCAUAAUAUCUUGCAUAAAGGCAAUUUUCUGUUCUCUUCUGCGGCUAUUAUUUUCCAGUUGGGAGAAGCUGAGGGAGAACUAAUUGUUGAUGCUAAAAUGUCACAAAUCCAAGAAAAAUACCUUCCUCCUGUAAAAGUCCAAAUCUGAAUUGAAGGCCCCCAGGUGUUUCACAUCUCAGAUUCUACAGUGUUGUACAAGUAAAUUUCUUUUUGGCUAUUCCUACCCUCCCAUUUUAGUCUCCGAGGGAAAUGAUCAUAUUACUUCUCUCUUUGGAAAACAUCUAUUCUAUAUCAGUGGUUAAACUAAACAUUCAUUGACCAAAAAAAAAUUUACUUGUACAACACUGUAGAAUCU